ACGACCGGCGCACGGGUGAGUAUCGCGUAUGUAACUUUCCUGCUACAGGGGGAUAACCCGGAGAAAUCCGGACUAAUACCGCAUGAUACAGAUUUUCCGCAUGGGGAAUUUGUUAAAGAUUAUUGGUAGCAGAUGGGCAUGCGUUCCAUUAGUUUGUUGGUAAGGUAACGGCUUACCAAGACUUCGAUGGAUAGGGGAACUGAGAGGUUUAUCCCCCACACUGGAACUGAGACACGGACCAG
rnacentral:rRNA from 1 species